CCCGGGCGCAGGAAGCGAGGCCCGGCGGGGCGGGGCUGCCCGCGGCCGCACUCACCGUUCAGCCGUGUCUGCCGGUUCGCUCGCACCCGCAGGAAGGUCUGCAGAGGGGAGACAAGAGCGGAGAAGUGUCAGGGCCGGCAGAGCGCAGGAAAAGCAGCAGCUGACAGAACACACUGUAUCUAAGAGGAGCACCCACCACUGACCAGAUCACAAGUUCCUGCACUACACCAGCUGCCACUGACAUGAGAUAAAUGCUGUCUGACCACCUGCAAAACGAGGGGAUAUUUUUCAAGUCUUAGAUCCUUCUGCAUGGCAAGAGGGACACAGAAGAUUGAGUAAUAACAUUGUUUAGAAGCAGAGUGCUUAGUUUAUAUUUAACUAAUAAUUAAUAGGUGUAUUGUAAGAAAUUAAACAAUUAUAGCUAACAUCAUGAAUUAUUUCUUAGUAUAGAUGUAUGUCAAAAUUUUCAAAAAUUGUAAUGCAUAUGUAAUAAUUAUGUGAAUAUAAGCAACGCAAGAGCAUCCAGUCUUUGGAGCACUUAUGGAGGAUGAUUUCCAGUGUUCCCCAGUGCUGAUAAAAUAAAGAAUGGUGCUUAACACCA